GGGCGGUUAGCUCAUUUGGCUAGAGCGCUGCAUUGACGUUGCAGAGGUGACAGGUUCAAAUCCUGUACCGCCCACCA
rnacentral:tRNA from 1 species